GACGAACGCUGGCGGCGUGCCUAAUACAUGCAAGUUGAGCGCUGAAGGUUGGUACUUGUACCAACUGGAUGAGCAGCGAACGGGUGAGUAACGCGUGGGGAAUCUGCCUUUGAGCGGGGGACAACAUUUGGAAACGAAUGCUAAUACCGCAUAAAAACUUUAAACACAAGUUUUAAGUUUGAAAGAUGCAAUUGCAUCACUCAAAGAUGAUCCCGCGUUGUAUUAGCUAGUUGGUGAGGUAAAGGCUCACCAAGGCGAUGAUACAUAGCCGACCUGAGAGGGUGGUCGGCCACCUUGGGACUGAGACACGGCCCAAACUCCUACGGGAGGCAGCAGUAGGGAAUCUUCGGCAAUGGACGGAAGUCUGACCGGGCAACGCCGCGUGAGUGGAGAAGGUUUUCGGGUCGUAAAACUCUGUUGGUAGGGAAGAACGUUGGUGGGAGUGGAAAGCUCAUCAAGUGACGGUAACUACCCAGAAAGGGACGGCUAACUACGUG
rnacentral:rRNA from 1 species